GCCAUAUCACGUUGAAACACCGAUUCCCUUAUGAUCACCGAAGUUAAACAACGUCGAGCAUGGUCAGUACCUAGAUGGGUGACUGUUUGGGAAUACUAGAUGCGGUAA